GGCGGGAUGCCCGAGUGGCCAAAGGGAACGGUCUGUAAAAUCGUCGGCGAAUGCCUUCAGAGGUUCGAAUCCUCUUCCCGCCA
rnacentral:tRNA from 1 species